UACGUAGGGGGCAAGCGUUGUCCGGAAUCAUUGGGCGUAAAGAGCGUGUUAGGCGGCUCGGUAAGUCCGCUCUGAAAGCCCGGGGCUCAACCCCGGGAGGCGGGCGGAUACUGUCGGGCUAGAGUCCGGAAGAGGCGAGUGGAAUUCCUGGUGUAGCGGGUGAAAUGCGCAGAUAUCAGGAGGAACACCAAUGGCGAAGGCAGCUCGCUGGACGGUACUGACGCUGAGACGCGAAAGCGUGG
rnacentral:rRNA from 1 species